rnacentral:rRNA from 1 species
UACGUAGGGUGCGAGCGUUGUCCGGAAUUACUGGGCGUAAAGAGCUCGUAGGUGGUUUGUCGCGUUGUUCGUGAAAACUCACAACUCAAUUGUGGGCGUGCGGGCGAUACGGGCAGACUAGAGGUAGGUAGGGGAGAAUGGAAUUCCCGGUGUAGCAGUGAAAUGCGUAGAUAUCGUGAGGAAGACCAGUGGCGAAGGCGGAUCUCUGGACAGUUCCUGACGCUGAGGCGCGAAGGCCCAGGGGAGCAAACGGG